rnacentral:rRNA from 1 species
GACGAACGCUGGCGGCGUGCUUAACACAUGCAAGUCACGGGGCCCGCAAGGGUAACCGGCGAACGGGUGCGUAACACGUGAACAACCUGCCCUCGUGUGGGGGAGUAGCCAUGCUAACGCGUGGGUAAUACCGCAUACGUUCUUUUCGGGGUAGGUCCCGAGGGGAAGGAAAGACUCCGGCGCACGGGGAGGGGUUCGGCGGCCUAUCAGCUAGUUGGUGCGGGUAAUGG